rnacentral:tRNA from 1 species
GCGGCGGUAGUUCAGUGGUAGAAUACCUCCUUCCCAAGGAGAAGGUCGCCGGUUCAAGUCCGGUCCGCCGCU